rnacentral:rRNA from 1 species
UACGGAAGGUGCGAGCGUUAAUCGGAUUUACUGGGCGUAAAGCGCGCGUAGGUGGUUUUGUAAGUCGGAUGUGAAAGCCCCGGGCUUAACCUGGGAAUUGCAUCUGAUACUGCAUGACUAGAGUAUGCUAGAGAGAAGUGGAAUUCCAGGUGUAGCGGUGAAAUGCGUAGAUAUCUGGAGGAACAUCAAUGGCGAAGGCAACUUCUUGGGGCAAUACUGACACUGAAGUGCGAAAGCGUGGGGAGCAAACAGG